rnacentral:rRNA from 1 species
GAUGAACGCUGGCGGCGUGCCUAAUACAUGCAAGUCGAGCGAAUGGAUUAAGAGCUUGCUCUUAUGAAGUUAGCGGCGGACGGGUGAGUAACACGUGGGUAACCUGCCCAUAAGACUGAGAUAACUCCGGGAAACCGGGGCUAAUACCGGAUAACAUUUUGAACCGCAUGGUUCGAAAUUGAAAGGCGGCUCCGGCUGUCACUUAUGGCUGGACCCGCGUCGCAUUAGCUAGUUGGUGAGGUAACGGCUCACCGAGGCAACGACGCGUAGCCGACCUGAGAGGGUGAUCGGCCACACUGGGACUGAGACACGGCCCAGUCUCCUACGGGAGGCAGCAGUAGGGAAUCUUCCGCAAUGGACGAAAGUCUGACGGAGCAACGCCGCGUGAGUGAUGAAGGCUUUCGGGUCGUAAAACUCUGUUGUUAGGGAAGAACAAGUGCUAGUUGAAUAAGCUGGCACCUUGACGGUACCUAACCAGAAAGCCACGGCUAACUACGUGCCAGCCGCCGCGGUAA